GGGGAUGUAAUUGGUUUCGACAGUAAUUUAGAAAUAUGAAUUGCGAGUAGUGGAUGGUUGCUUUGGCCACUUAAAAAAAGCAAAAAUAAAUUAAACGCUGAUAAUAAUGAAUUAGCAUACGCUGCCUAGAAAAGGCACGUCGUUUUACCAUAAAGCCUACUGUUAUGGAUAAAGCGUCAAUUAAAGUAGGAAACGAAGUUGUUUCUCGUCUUGGAAACAAUGGGUAUUUAAAGACUACUAAUAAUUCAAGCCUGUUUAUUUGCUAGAAUUAAAGGGAAACUUUAAUAAUAAACUACACUCGUAGAUAUUUAUAUAGAAAAGUUAUUGGACGAGGGUUCAACUCCCUCCAUCUCCACCA
rnacentral:tmRNA from 1 species